rnacentral:rRNA from 1 species
UACGUAGGGUCCGAGCGUUGUCCGGAAUUACUGGGCGUAAAGAGCUCGUAGGUGGUUUGUCGCGUUGUUCGUGAAAACUCACAGCUCAACUGUGGGCGUGCGGGCGAUACGGGCAGACUUGAGUACUGCAGGGGAGACUGGAAUUACUGGUGUAGCGGUGGAAUGCGCAGAUAUCAGGAGGAACACCGGUGGCGAAGGCGGGUCUCUGGGCAGUAACUGACGCUGAGGAGCGAAAGCGUGGGGAGCGAACAGG